AACGAACGCUGGCGGCAUGCCUACACAUGCAAGUCGAACGAGAUCUUCGGGUCUAGUGGCGCACGGGUGCGUAACGCGUGGGAAUCUGCCCUUUGGUUCGGAAUAACAGUUGGAAACGACUGCUAAUACCGGAUGAUGACGAAAGUCCAAAGAUUUAUCGCCAGAGGAUGAGCCCGCGUAGGAUUAGCUAGUUGGUGUGGUAAAGGCGCACCAAGGCGACGAUCCUUAGCUGGUCUGAGAGGAUGAUCAGCCACACUGGGACUGAGACACGGCCCAGACUCCUACGGGAGGCAGCAGUGGGGAAUAUUGGACAAUGGGCGAAAGCCUGAUCCAGCAAUGCCGCAUGAGUGAUGAAGGCCUUAGGGUUGUAAAGCUCUUUUACCCGGGAUGAUAAUGACAGUACCGGGAGAAUAAGCUCCGGCUAACUCCGUGCCAGCCGCCGCCGUAAAAC
rnacentral:rRNA from 1 species